rnacentral:tRNA from 1 species
GCCCAGGUGGCGGAAUGGUAGACGCGCUCGUUUCAGGUGCGAGUGCCGAGAGGCGUGCAGGUUCGACUCCUGUUCUGGGCA